AUUGAACGCUGGCGGCAGGCCUAACACAUGCAAGUCGAGCGGGGUGAUGGUGCUUGCACUAUCACUUAGCGGCGGACGGGUGAGUAAUGCUUAGGAAUCUGCCUAUUAGUGGGGGACAACAUCUCGAAAGGGAUGCUAAUACCGCAUACGUCCUACGGGAGAAAGCAGGGGAUCACUUGUGACCUUGCGCUAAUAGAUGAGCCUAAGUCGGAUUAGCUAGUUGGUGGGGUAAAGGCCUACCAAGGCGACGAUCUGUAGCGGGUCUGAGAGGAUGAUCCGCCACACUGGGACUGAGACACGGCCCGGACUCCUACGGGAGGCAGCAGUGGGGAAUAUUGGACAAUGGGGGGAACCCUGAUCCAGCCAUGCCGCGUGUGUGAAGAAGGCCUUAUGGUUGUAAAGCACUUUAAGCGAGGAGGAGGCUCUUUUGGUUAAUACCCAAGAUGAGUGGACGUUACUCGCAGAACAAGCACCGGCUAACUCUGUGCCAGCCGCCGCCGUAA
rnacentral:rRNA from 1 species